rnacentral:rRNA from 1 species
AUUGAACGCUGGCGGCAGGCUUAACACAUGCAAGUCGAGCGGAGAGAGGUAGCUUGCUACUGAUCUUAGCGGCGGACGGGUGAGUAAUGCUUAGGAAUCUGCCUAUUAGUGGGGGACAACAUUUCGAAAGGAAUGCUAAUACCGCAUACGUCCUACGGGAGAAAGCAGGGGAUCUUCGGACCUUGCGCUAAUAGAUGAGCCUAAGUCGGAUUAGCUAGUUGGUGGGGUAAAGGCCUACCAAGGCGACGAUCUGUAGCGGGUCUGAGAGGAUGAUCCGCCACACUGGGACUGAGACACGGCCCAGACGCCUACGGGGGGCAGCAGUGGGGAAUAUUGGACAAUGGGCGGAAGCCUGAUCCAGCCAUGCCGCGUGUGUGAAGAAGGCCUUAUGGUUGUAAAGCACUUUAAGCGAGGAGGAGGCUACUUUAGUUAAUACCUAGAGAUAGUGGACGUUACUCGCAGAAUAAGCACCGGCUAACUCUGUGCCAGCCGCCGCAGUAA